rnacentral:rRNA from 1 species
UUCGGGGUACUCGAGUGGCGAACGGGUGAGUAACACGUGGGCAAUCUGCCCUGCACACCGGGAUAAGCCUGGGAAACUGGGUCUAAUACCGGAUAGGACCACUUGGCGCAUGCCUUGUGGUGGAAAGCUUUUGCGGUGUGGGAUGGGCCCGCGGCCUAUCAGCUUGUUGGUGGGGUGACGGCCUACCAAGGCGACGACGGGUAGCCGGCCUGAGAGGGUGUCCGGCCACACUGGGACUGAGAUACGGCCCAGACUCCUACGGGAGGCAGCAGUGGGGAAUAUUGCACAAUGGGCGCAAGCCUGAUGCAGCGACGCCGCGUGGGGGAUGACGGCCUUCGGGUUGUAAACCUCUUUCACCAUCGACGAAGGUCCGGGUUUUCUCGGAUUGACGGUAGGUGGAGAAGAAGCACCGGCCAACUACGUGCCAGCAGCCGCGGUAAUACGUAGGGUGCGAGCGUUGUCCGGAAUUACUGGGCGUAAAGAGCUCGUAGGUGGUUUGUCGCGUUGUUCGUGAAAUCUCACGGCUUAACUGUGAGCGUGCGGGCGAUACGGGCAGACUAGAGUACUGCAGGGGAGACUGGAAUUCCUGGUGUAGCGGUGGAAUGCGCAGAUAUCAGGAGGAACACCGGUGGCGAAGGCGGGUCUCUGGGCAGUAACUGACGCUGAGGAGCGAAAGCGUGGGGAGCGAACAGGAUUAGAUACCCUGGUAGUCCACGCCGUAAACGGUGGGUACUAGGUGUGGGUUUCCUUCCUUGGGAUCCGUGCCGUAGCUAACGCAUUAAGUACCCCGCCUGGGGAGUACGGCCGCAAGGCUAAAACUCAAAGGAAUUGACGGGGGCCCGCACAAGCGGCGGAGCAUGUGGAUUAAUUCGAUGCAACGCGAAGAACCUUACCUGGGUUUGACAUGCACAGGACGCGUCUAGAGAUAGGCGUUCCCUUGUGGCCUGUGUGCAGGUGGUGCAUGGCUGUCGUCAGCUCGUGUCGUGAGAUGUUGGGUUAAGUCCCGCAACGAGCGCAACCCUUGUCUCAUGUUGCCAGCGGGUAAUGCCGGGGACUCGUGAGAGACUGCCGGGGUCAACUCGGAGGAAGGUGGGGAUGACGUCAAGUCAUCAUGCCCCUUAUGUCCAGGGCUUCACACAUGCUACAAUGGCCGGUACAAAGGGCUGCGAUGCCGCGAGGUUAAGCGAAUCCUUUUAAAGCCGGUCUCAGUUCGGAUCGGGGUCUGCAACUCGACCCCGUGAAGUCGGAGUCGCUAGUAAUCGCAGAUCAGCAACGCUGCGGUGAAUACGUUCCCGGGCCUUGUACACACCGCCCGUCACGUCAUGAAAGUCGGUAACACCCGAAGCCANUGGCCUAACCCUCGG